UCAAACGGAAGCUGGUAAAGACUUAUCAAAUCCGUUUAUGGUUCUGGGCUUACCAAAAGCUCAACAGACUCAGAGGACUGUUGAUUCCUCUACUUCUCAGACUCAACAGGCUAAAAAUCCUGUUAUAUCUAAUAAAGAAGAUCAGACACAGCAGACUGAUAAUUCUGCUACUAGACUUAUUAGCCCAAUAGAUCUUAAACAGAAAAGCCCAAUUAAUUUUCCAGGAUCAUUCCAAUCAGCCCAAGAUCCAGAACAGAUUUCUCAGUCAGAUGUUAGAAAGAUUAAAGAAAUGCUUGAUAAGAUUGAGGAGAUUCAGCAACAAGUUAAACAAAGUACUACAAAGAAAAAGAAAUUACAAAUUAAAAAGAAAAACAAAGGAAAAAAGAAGAUUGAACAAGAAAGAGAUUUGGAUGAUUCCAAAGACAAUAAUUCAGAAGAUAAUCCAGAAGAUUUUACUGACGGUGGAGAUUCCUUAGACAGUAUUGGCAGACACAAUUAUGCUACAAGAUAAGAGAUUUAUCAGACAGGUGUAAAGAAUCAACAAGACAGCUGGAAAAAAGACAAGGAGCUUCUAGAAAAAGAAUCUACUAAUUGAAGAUUUAUUUUCAGAUGUCAAAACUUUUGAAGAUUUUUUACUGUUUACUUUUUGAAAAAUUUGUAAAAGAAUCUUACUAUUCUAUAAAGUAAGAUUUGAUAGAAUAACUUUUACUGUUUUCUUUUUGACGUUUUGAAAAAAGCAAAGAUUCCUUGCUUUUAGAUAACGUCUAUCUUAUCUUUUCUCUCCUAUAAAAGGAGAUCAUUCUUUCAUUUGUAAAGACACGAAAGAAAAUUUAUACAAUACA
rnacentral:lncRNA from 1 species